rnacentral:rRNA from 1 species
CCUACGGGAGGCAGCAGUGAGGAAUAUUGGUCAAUGGACGAGAGCCUGAACCAGCCAAGUAGCGUGAAGGAUGACUGCCCUAUGGUUUGUAAACUUCUUUUAUAAAGGAAUAAAACGAGGCACGUGUGCCUUUUUGCAUGUACUUUAUGAAUAAGGAUCGGCUAACUCCGUGCCAGCAGCCGCGGUAAUACGGAGGAUCCGAGCGUUAUCCGGGUUUAUUGGGUUGAAAGGGAGUGUAGGUGGGUUAUUAAGUCAGUUGUGAAAGCUUGCGGCUCAACCAUAAAAUUGCAAUUGAUACUGGUAGUUUUGAGUACAGUUGAGGAAGGCGGAAUGCGUGGUGUAGCGGUGAAAUGCUUAGAUAUCACGAAGAACCCCGAUGGCGAAGGCAGCAUACUAAACAGUAACUAACACUGAGGCGCGAAAGUGUGGGGAUCAAACAGGAUUAGAUACCCGAGUAGUC